rnacentral:rRNA from 1 species
UACGGGGGGUGCUAGCGUUGUCCGGAAUCACUGGGCGUAAAGGGCGCGUAGGUGGUUUGAUAAGGGUGUGGUGAAAGCCCGGGGCUCAACCCCGGGUCUGCCGUGCCGACUGUCAAACUCGAGGGCUGUAGAGGCAGACGGAAUUCCGGGUGUAGCGGUGAAAUGCGCAGAGAUCGGGAGGAACACCAAUGGCGAAAGCAGGUAACUGGACUAUUACUGACACUCAGCUGCGAAAGCUAGGGGAGCAAACAGG